rnacentral:misc_RNA from 1 species
AGAGAGAGAGAGAGAGAGAGACGGUUAGCGUCUAGGGAGAGGAUUUAUGUUUGUUUGUUAAAAGGGAUAUGAAGAGGGAAGGAGGGUUCAUGAGUUGGGUCUGCGAACGCGGUUGUCGUUAGGGCCGUUGGAUUGUGGGAAUGAGGUUAGAUCGUAGCCGUUGGUUUUGGUGAAACCGGAGGAUAAUGCAUGUGAUACUACUUUGGUUUUCUCUCCUCUCAUGGAUCCGCCGCCAGCUGCUCAUUCAUUGGUUUUGUG